CUUUUUUUUUUUUAAUUUCCUUUUUGUUUUCCUUCUUUGACUCUCUGUACUUUUAUUUUACAACGAAUUCUCCUCCGUUUCUCUCUCUCUCUCUCUCUGAACGGUUUCUUCUUGUACGAUUCUCACUUCUUUCUGUAGAACCUUAACAUCUGAGCGUUGUUGUUUUGCUUUCAUUUUUCUCUACUACUACUACUCUGGUUUUCGCUCUCGUUGAUUCGCUGAAUCGCCACUUGCAUAGCUCCAUCCGUUGAUAGUGGUAGAAAUUGAGGAUCCCUUUUAGCUAAUUUUCAUUUUCUUAAUCCAAUGGUUGAGUUUUAGUUCACUUCAAAUUCUUUUCAUAAUCAACUAGCUUCUUCUAUUCCUUUUUCUCAGAGGUUGGUACCUCAGGUUAUAGGGGGAGUUUUUGUCGUCUAAAGCUUCUAGGGUUCGGUUUUUUCCGGUUGGGUUUUACUUUACCAUUAUGGGUCUGGGUUUUCCUAAAAUUGCCAUGUUUCGGUCGUUUUUGUUCGCUGGGUAGUUUUGUCAUUUAAUGGUCUUGCUGCUGGUGGGUACAGAGGUGAGGGUCUUCUUAACAUAACAAGCCUUCUUUAGGCUAAAAAGAAACAUGAAUUGCUUUUUAUGAGAAGUACUUUUCAAUAGAAAUUGCGUGGUGAGAAUUCUCUGAGAGUGUGAUAAAGUUUUAUUAAAUUUAUUGAUCGGUGAAAUUGGUUGUUGACUUGAGUGUUUGGUGACUUGAAGUAUAUAGUGUACAGAGAGAAACUUGCACAACUCUAAUUACAGUGUAUAGAGCAGUUUUCAAGAAUUGGGGUUUGCAAAUCUUGGUUGGUGAAAAUAGUAAAGUGAAAAUAAAAGUUAAUUGAUGUGAAAUUUGACACAUAUUGGCCUUAGGAAAUUUUGUUUCGGCACAAGUGGUGAUUGGAUGCUUUAUGUGAAUCGAUUGUAAAGGGAGGAUUCAAGGUGAGGAAAGUGAAUUAAAGUCAGAUUCUGUUGGUUUUGUAGAUAAAAAUAGUGCAAUGCCUCUUUUGUGGGUGGAUUGAGGAGCUUAACAAGACAGGUUGUUUUUUUUGGGGGUUCUUUCAUAUGAUCAUGUUUGGUUACUGUCAUGGAUAGGAGUAAGCAUGCUUUAGUGCCAGAAUGGUUGAAAAGUGGCGGAAGUGUCCCUACUUAUGGCAGUGCAAACCACCUAUCUGCAUCAGCAUCGUUGCAAACUGAUGAUCAUCUUGAAUCAAAGCAUGCAGGGAACAAGUCAUCUAUAAGCACUAGUGAUCGUGAUACAUGCCGAUUAUCAGUUCUGGAAAGAACCACUUCUGCCUAUUUUCACCGUAGUUCUAAUUGCAAUGGUUCUGGUCAACUGCGUUCUACAAGAAGCUUUGGUAGAAGUCACCAUGAUAGGGAUUGGGAAGAUGAAAAUAAUUAUCGGGAGAAGGAAAAGUUGGUCUUAGGUGAACUUAGGAACUAUGAGCGUUCUGAUUGUCUGGAUAACUUUUUGCCAAGUAAAUUUGACAAAGAUAAGUUACACCGUUCGCAUUCUUUGAUUACAGGAAAGCAAGAUGACACUUGGUCCAAGAAAGUAGCUAGAGACUUGACUAACAAUAAAAAUAAACUUAGCAACAGUAACGAAAAUGGUCUGCUUGCUAGGGUUGGUGUUGGUUCUGUGCAUGAUAAUUCAUUUGAACAGGAUUUCCCCUCAUUGGGAGCUGAGGAAAGACAAGGCGGUAUAGGAAGGGUUUCUUCUCCUGGCUUAAGUGCGGCUACUCAAACUGGUACUUCACCUGUGGUUGUUAGUGAGUAUUGGAAGUCAGCUCUAGCAGAGGUGCCAAUUGUUGUGGGAAGCAGUAGUAUGGUUGUUACAUCAGCUCAGCAAGCCAUUCCUGCAACCUCGGCUACUGUGGUGCCAAACAUUACGACAGGACUCAAUAUGGCUGAAGCAUUAGCACAAGGCCCUCCACGUGUUCGUACACCUCCCCAGCCAACUGCUGGAAUACAACGGUUUGAAGAGCUCACUAUUAGGCAGUCAAAAUUGAUUCCCAUGACUCCUUCCACAGCUAAAACACUGGUGGUCAGUCCUGCAGAGAAAUCAAAACCCAAGAUUGGUUCGCCGAAACACUCUGUACACUUCAUCAAUCAUACUCGUGGUCCUGCAAGACCUGAUAGUGCAAAAAUGUCUAAUGAGGGCAGGCUUCAGGUCCUCAAAUCAUCACGAGAAUUGAAUGGCAUCUCUUCAGCUGAAAAAGAUAGCUUGAGUCCUACAAAUGGAAACAAGCUGGUGAAUAGCUUACUUGGUAUCACUCCAUUGACUGCUGGUUCUGUUCCCUCAAGGACCUCAGGGAAUCCAAACCGUCCCAGCGCCGACCACCUUCCUUCAGUUUUGCGGCCAACCGUAGAGAAGAGACCAGCGUUUCAAAUCCAGAGCCGGAAUGAUUUUUUUAACCACCUAAAGAAGAAAUCCUCCACAAACUCCACAGCUGGGGUAUCGGAUCCUAGUCCUGUUUCAUUGUCAUCCUCCCCAGAGAAGAAGUCUAGUGAAUCUGUCACAGAACGUACUGCUGCUUCAGUUACUGAGAAUGAUGGAGAUUCUUCUUCAUCAGAAAUAUCUGUUACUAGCUUGUCCAGUGAUAAUAGAGGUAAAAUAAUCCACAAUGGAGAUACUUACAAUGGGACUCAUCUAUUUGACAACGGAGAGAAGGAUUCAAACUCUGACAUAACUCCCAACCCAGAUGAGGAAGAGGCUGCCUUUUUACGGUCACUUGGUUGGGAUGAAAAUGCUGGAGAAGACGAAGGCCUUACGGAGGAGGAGAUCAGUGCUUUCUAUGAGAAGUACAUGAAAUUAAGGGCUUCAUCGAAAACUAUCCACAGAAUGCCACCAAGAAUGGCACUCGACCCUCAGAAUAGUAGCUGUGGUGUUGCUUCGUCUGCACUGAGUUCAUCUGACUCAGAGUCAGAUUCUUGAUUCGCCAGAUGUCUGAAACUGACUUUAAAGUUUGAACUGAUUGCUGGAUGUGGUUUCUUUUGUUCUCUUUUUUAUUUGGCUACUAUUCGAUAUAAAAUUCUGAUCCUAUCAGAUGUUAAAAGGAAGGUGAAGGUAUAGGAUGCAUAGUGUCUGAUUUUGUUGGAAAUGGAUUGGAAUGAUCUAUGAUUGAUCCAGUCAGAAGACAAAUGAUUUGGUCAGCUUGCUUUUUCAGGUUAGAAUUUUCUGAGGUAUAAAGGUUGAGAAGAAGAGGGUAGGAAUAGUUUUUUUAUUAUGCUGCAAUGUAGGAUGCUACUGGGGAGAUAAGGUAUAAGAAAUUUGUGUUCUCUGUGAAGAGAAGAAUUCAACAAUAUAUUUCUUUGUCAAUUGAAGAAGAAAAAGAAAGAAAUUUUAGAUCUUAUUGAUUUUUCUCUGUUGACAUUUUCUUUUUACUUGUGGCUUGGAAUCCACGUUUAUAAUUGGAAUAAGUUGCUUAUUCUUUUACAGAUAUGAAGGCAACUUCUUAUAUGUCUUGUUUAUAAAUUAUUUGGUAAUUGUAGCAUGAUGAUUUGAAUUUAUCAAUCAACAGUCUUUUUUUUUUCUUUAAAA
rnacentral:misc_RNA from 1 species